CAUGGCUACGGCAGGCAUAGACACCUCCAUAUUUUCACCACACUCCAUACGAGGAGCAAUGGCUUCCAAAGCCUCUUCGAUGGGUUGUCGCCUGGAAGACAUCCUAAAAGCAGCCGACUGGUCUUCAGAAUCUACCUUCUGUUAUUUUUACUUCAAACCAAUACACCACUUUGCGGGAACGGUAGUUUCUCAGCUUUCAACCAGCAUAAUAGGAGCCUCCGUGUCUUAAUAAAAUUCACGGAUUUUACUAUUACCAUGACGUAAAGUCAUGAUUUUAUUAAUGACACGGAGGCGAGUAUUAUCCCU